UAAUCAUAUAAAGCGCCGGAACUUAUUUUAUAAGUUGACGAGGACAGGGCUUAUCGAAUUAUCGGCGGAUACCCUGCGGCUUACCACCGAAAGAGAUCUGACAAAACCAUAAAGUGAUUUAUGGGACAAAAGGAUCGGGUACAAUACU
rnacentral:ncRNA from 2 species